rnacentral:rRNA from 1 species
AAUCAACGCUGGCGGCGUGCCUCAGACAUGCAAGUCGAACGAUUAAACUUCCCUUCGGGGAAGAUAUAAAGUGGCGCACGGGUGAGUAACACGUAAGUAAUCUACCUUCGAGUGGGGAAUAACAUCGGGAAACCGAUGCUAAUACCGCAUAACGCAGCGGCACCUAAUGGUGACAGUUGUUAAAGGAGCAAUUCGCUUGAAGAGGAGCUUGCGGCAGAUUAGCUAGUUGGUAAGGUAAUGGCUUACCAAGGCUUCGAUCUGUAUCCGGUCUAAGAGGACGGUCGGACACACUGACACUGAAUAACGGGUCAGACUCCUACGGGAGGCAGCAGUCGGGAAUUUUGGGCAAUGGGCGAAAGCCUGACCCAGCAACGCCGCGUGAAGGAUGAAGUAUUUCGGUAUGUAAACUUCGAAAGAAUGGGAAGAACUCAAUGACGGUACCAUUUAUAAGCUCCGGCUAACUACGUGCCAGCCGCCGCCGUAACAC